UUCUUUCUUUCUUUUUUUCUAUUUUGUCCUUUUUCCGUCCUCUGCACCCACUGCUGUUGCCUCCCCCCUUAACCACAGCCGGCCGCUGGGCGGCAUCGCUUGGCAGUUGCCUGUCUCCUCUAUCGGGGAGGUGGCAAGCACCCCAGCACGGCAGCCCUCAAAGGCUGCAGCAGCUCACCCUGAGCUGCAAGACGGGUGACCUGGAGUAAAGAGAUAACCCACCGCGAGAUGGGCACUGGGCUUAAAAAGCGCUGCAAAGGCUUUACAGGGAAAGAGCGAAGAGGGAUGCUUGCCGGCUUCCCUCCUCUCUGCACCGAGUUGCGAUGUCCCUCCCGGAGCGGAGGGGCCCUGCCCGGCCCCGCCGCAGGACUCGGGGGCUGCAAGGGAGCCGGGCGAAGGGAGACGCAGUGAAAAGCUGGCGGGGCUCUCAUUUCUCCCACUUGUUGAUUUCCUCAAGGAACUGCCACUCUCAUUAAUGGGAAGCGGAGACCAAAAAAACAACCACCUAAAAAGUCCCACGAAAAAUAACCUACAAACUUGACAUUCGAAUAGGAGCUGCCAGUUUCCUCUGCCCUCUGUGGAGUGCUUUCAGGGCGCUGCUGUUAAAAACUACUUGAGACCUGCCAGUUUUCAGGGUACCCGGAGUUCCCGUCCCCUGCCCGCUGCCCCCUGGCAUCUCCCUCUGCCCCUCCGGGCGCCAGGACGCGGCGCCCGGCGCUGCCCCCGGCGCUUCAGGCCAGCUGUGCGCAGCUGUGCCAGAGUCUCCAGCCGCCGGGAUGGAGAGUCUCCGGCUCCUCUUCACAACCUGCCACGGGCUGCAACCCACUUCCCCCCUCCCCGGUCCGCCGCGGACCCCACGCUGCCCGCAAGCGCCCACGGCGCAGCCCCGCUCCAGCCGGCGGCACCGCCGGCCUCGCCCCGCUCUGCACCGGCCCUUUUGCAAGAGCUCCGCGGUUCUUACCGAGUCACCUGGCCCCUUUUCCUACCAAACGCUGUCCCGGCUAUACCCUGCAGGCAUCCCCCGUACCCUCCGGUGCCCCGCUGCGCGGUGGCCCCGCUGCCGGAGGGGUCAUUUCUCCCGUGGGGAGCAGUAUUCCCAUGGCAUGGCAGAGCAGGGUGUACCGCUAGCAGAGCGCUGAACCCACCUUUCAGCGACGACUUCUCUUCUUUGCCCCUCAUCUUGCUCCCCUCCGGGACCCCGGGCGCGGCGCGGCAGCGCUGAGUUUGCGACUGUGCUCCCGGCCGCCGCGGUAAUCCCGAAUAACUCCCCUUCCUGGCCGGGCGUCCUGGA
rnacentral:lncRNA from 1 species